AAAAAUACUUGUAAAAUAAAAAGUGAUAAUGGCACAGAGUUCUGUAACAGAGAUUUUGAUAAUUAUUUGAAGAAAAUGGGUAUAAUUCAUCA